GAUGAACGCUGGCGGCGUGCCUAAUACAUGCAAGUCGAGCGAACGGACGAGAAGCUUGCUUCUCUGAUGUUAGCGGCGGACGGGUGAGUAACACGUGGAUAACCUACCUAUAAGACUGGGAUAACUUCGGGAAACCGGAGCUAAUACCGGAUAAUAUUUUGAACCGCAUGGUUCAAAAGUGAAAGACGGUCUUGCUGUCACUUAUAGAUGGAUCCGCGCUGCAUUAGCUAGUUGGUAAGGUAACGGCUUACCAAGGCAACGAUGCAUAGCCGACCUGAGAGGGUGAUAGGCGACAUGGGAGCUGAGCCACGGUCCAGACUCCUAAGGGAGGCAGCAGUAGGGAAUCUUCCGCAAUGGGCGAAAGCCUGACGGAGCAACGCCGCGUGAGUGAUGAAGGUGUUCGGAUCGUAAAACUCUGUUAUUAGGGAAGAACAUAUGUGUAAGUAACUGUGCACAGCUUGACGGUACCUAAUCAGAAAGCCACGGCUAACUACGUG
rnacentral:rRNA from 1 species